GGCGAAAGCUGACGCUUUAACGCCGCGUGCGGGAAGAAGGCUUUACGGUUGUAAACCGCUUUCAGCAGAGCAAGAAAAUGACGGUACCUGCAGAAGAAGGUGCGGCCAACUACGUGCCAGCAGCCGCGGUGACACGUAGGCACCAAGCGUUGUCCGGAUUUAUUGGGCGUAAAGAGCUCGUAGGCGGUUCAGUAAGUCGGGUGUGAAAACUCUGGGCUUAACCCAGAGCCAGCACCGAUACUGCUGUGACUUGAGUCCGGUAGGGGAGCGGGGAAUUCCUGGUGUAGCGGUGAAAUGCGCAGAUAUCAGGAGGAACACCGGUGGCGAAGGCGCCGAUCUGGGCCGAGACUGACGCUGAGGAGCGAAAGCAUGGGUAGCACACAGGAUUAGAUACCCUGGUAGUCCAUGCCGUACACGUUGGGCACUAGNG
rnacentral:rRNA from 1 species